UGAGGGUUAGCUCAGUGGUAGAGCCUGUGCUUAGCAUGCACCAGGCCUGGGUUCAAUCUCCAGUAUCCCCUG
rnacentral:tRNA from 1 species